CUUUGAAAUUAAUAUGAGUGAUGUAACAAUAAGUCCCAAAAACAACACGUACUAUUUUCCGAUUUAUUUAUUUUAAAUUCUUACAGUUGAGGUACACAGGUCACAGAUAUUCAGAAGUUAAAGGUACAUAAUAAUACGAUUGGAUAUAUUAAUAUAAUAAUAAGUAAAAUGAUACGAUACACAAUAGUAAUAUUAAUCAACAAAUAACCGUUCUACAAGCAACUACAUAAGACAAAUAUGUUAUGAUAAAAAAAAAUGUCUAUUCAGCGUCUGCUCUACUACAGUGUGAUUGGUUUACUUAUAAUCUACACUAUACAGAGUAUAUUGUUUAUAAUCCCAACCCCUACGAAUAUUGUCCAAAAUACAAUUUAUUAAUGACAAUGAUAUAGUGUAGAACCUCGAUUAUCCGAACUAAUUGGGACUACACCUAGUUUGAAUAAGUGAAAG